AAUCAACGCUGGCGGCGUGCCUAACACAUGCAAGUCGAACGCGAAAGUGGAGCAAUCCAUGAGUAGAGUGGCAAACGGGUGAGUAACACGUGGGUGACCUGCCUUCGAGUGGGGGAUAACGUCCCGAAAGGGACGCUAAUACCGCAUAAUAUGCUGUCUUUUAAGAGAGAGACAUCAAAGCCGGGGACCGUAAGGCCUGGCGCUUGAAGAGGGGCCCGCGCCUGAUUAGCUAGUCGGUGGGGUAAUGGCUCACCAAGGCAACGAUCAGUAUCCGGCCUGAGAGGGCGGACGGACACACUGGGACUGAGACACGGCCCAGACUCCUACGGGAGGCAGCAGUGGGGAAUUGUUCGCAAUGGGCGCAAGCCUGACGACGCAACGCCGCGUGGAGGAUGAAGAUCUUCGGGUCGUAAACUCCUUUCGAUCGAGACGAAUGGCCCUUGGGAUAAUACCCUGAGGGAGUGACGGUACCGAGAGAAGAAGCCCCGGCUAACUCCGUGCCAG
rnacentral:rRNA from 1 species